CCCUUAGAUGUUCUGGGCCGCACGCGCGCUACACUGAUUCAUGCAACAAGUUUUGUCCUUGGCUGAUAGGCCUGGGUAAUCUUUGAACGUGAAUCGUGAUGGGGAUAGAUGAUUGCAAUUAUUCAUCUUCAACGAGGAAUUCCUAGUAAACGCAAGUCAUCAGCUUGCAUUGAUUACGUCCCUGCCCUUUGUACACACCGCCCGUCGCACCUACCGAUUGAAUGGUCCGGUGAAAUCUUCGGAUCUGAGAGAUGUCUGAUUAAUUUCGGACGCCUUUUGGAAAAGUUGUUUAAACCUUACCAUUUANAGGAAGGUGAAGUCGUAACA
rnacentral:rRNA from 1 species